CUUCCGUUAGGGGAACCUGCGGAAGGAUGAUUCAUGUGAUUUACUACUACACUGCGUGAGCGGAACGAAAACAACAACACCUAAAAUGUGGAAUAUAGCAUAUAGUCGACAAGAGAAAUCUACGAAAAAACAAACAAAACUUUCAACAACGGAUCUCUUGGUUCUCGCAUCGAUGAAGAGCGCAGCGAAAUGCGAUACCUAGUGUGAAUUGCAGCCAUCGUGAAUCAUCGAGUUCUUGAACGCACAUUGCGCCCCUCGGCAUUCCGGGGGGCAUGCCUGUUUGAGCGUCGUUUCCAUCUUGCGCGUGCGCAGAGUUGGGGGAGCGGAGCGGACGACGUGUAAAGAGCGUCGGAGCUGCGACUCGCCUGAAAGGGAGCGAAGCUGGCCGAGCGAACUAGACUUUUUUUCAGGGACGCUUGGCGGCCGAGAGCGAGUGUUGCGAGACAACAAAAAGCUCGACCUCAAAUCAGGUAGGAAUACCCGCUGAACUUAAGCAUAUCAAUAAGCGGAGGAA
rnacentral:rRNA from 1 species